UACGGAGGAUGCAAGCGUUAUCCGGAAUGAUUGGGCGUAAAGCGUCCGCAGGUGGCAAUGUAAGUCUGCUGUCAAAGCGUCUGGCUCAACCAGAUAAAGGCAGUGGAAACUACAUAGCUAGAGUAAGGUAGGGGUAGAGGGAAUUCCUGGUGUAGCGGUGAAAUGCGUAGAUAUCGGGAGGAACACCAGUGGCGAAGGCGACUACCUGGCCCGUUCUUGACGCUGAGGCGCGAAAGCUAGGGGAGCAAACGGG
rnacentral:rRNA from 1 species